GAUGCAUCCCAGUGAUGUUGGUUAUGCUGGUGGCCAUGCGAUGAACACUUACCAGCCAUUCAGUGGACCUAGGGUAAUGCCUGGAAGCUAUGAAGAGGAAGGCGUACGUAUAUCAUGACAAUUUAUUUCCUAGCAAGCCAACCUUGAGCAUUUUGUUGCUUCAUCCAUUGCUAAUGACAUAUCUUUUGUAGUACGAAGCUGAGGAGGCCAGGUUUUUUUUUUUUGAGGGUGAGGAGGCCAGGUUGAGAAGUACUUUACAGUGCCUUGAUGAUCCAGAGAUGAUGGAAGGACCACCGAAACCGUCUAAAUUCUGGAACAGUCUUGUUAAGGUAUACAUUGAACCACCGGGAUACUCGGACCGAGACCGUGUACCACCAGGAUUCCCGGGCAGUGGACACAAUGCACCCCCGGCCCCGCCUGCACAAUACUUUGGGGUUGGCAGUGGUGCCAGGUCUCUCGGGGUUGUCUUCUUCAGAAGCCAUGGGUUUUAUUGUAGAAUCUGGUUAAAUUCGAGACUACUGUAACAUGCAUUUGAAUACUGUAUACUCUUUGAGCGACAAAUGUCUUUCAUCAAGACGGAGUGACGGAUUCCAUUUUGGCAGCCUGAAUAUGGCGCCAAGUGCUCUUAAUAUACUUAUUAUCUACAAAAAGUAUUGAAUGGGGUGGACAAUUUGCCA